UUAUAUAGUCCUUUGGUGUGCAGAUUAUACGCUUUCUCUAAUCUAGGCUGAGCCAACUAUCAAAGCAUUCGUAAUAGCAACAACUAGUUUAUGUACCUAUCUUGGUUCUAAUUGCAUACCUAGGAAUGUUAAAAAACAAUUGACUAUGACUCGUUCAAGUGUUGAAGUUGACUACAAUCUAUGGCAUCCAUUGUGGUAGAAUUAACUUGGCUUUCU
rnacentral:lncRNA from 1 species